rnacentral:rRNA from 1 species
AUGGUUAGAUAUAUUAAUAUAUUUAUUUCCAAUCAUAGUGUAAACUAUGAAGAGUCCCAUUUAUUUGCAACUUUAUCAUUUUGCCUGAAUAAGUUUCAUAUUGCAAUGCAGUCUAGUGAAACACUCUCGCUCUAUCUUGAGUUUGUUAAUGGGGGCUCUAUACAUAAGUUGCUUAGAGAAUAUGGUCCAUUUGAAGAGGCAGUCCUCCGGAAUUACACUACACAGAUCCUUUCUGGCCUUGCAUACUUGCAUAGGCGUAAUGUAGUGCACAGGUAUUGGGCAGUCAUCAAAUUAAAUAGAAUAGGAUGGCCAUUUCUUUUUGAAAAAACAUCAUGUAUUCUUAUUUCUUAA